CUGAGACACGAAUCCAGACCCUACGGGUGCAGCAGGCGCGAAAACUUGGCAAUGCGAGCAAUCGUGACCAGGGAACUCCAAGUGGCUGGGGUAAUACCCAGUUUUUUCUUGACUCUUCAAAGGUCUUGGAAUAAGGGGUGGGUAAGGACGGUGCCAGCCGCCGCGGUAAUACCGGCGCCUCAAGUGGUAGUCGCUUUUAUUGGGCCUAAAACGUCCGUAGCCGGUCUGGUGCAUUCGUGGGUAAAUCAACCCGCUCAACGGGUUGAAUUCUGCGAGCACGGCCAGACUUGGGACCGGGAGAGGUGUGGGGUACUCUCAGGGUAGGGGUAAAAUCCUGUCAUCCUGAGAGGACCACCUGUUGCGAAGGCGCCACACUAGAACGGAUUCGACGGUCAGGGACGAAACCUAGGGGCACGAACCGGAUUAGAUACCCGGGUAGUCCUAGGUGUAAACGCUGUGGACUUGAUGUUGGGGGUGCUCCGAGCACUCUCAGUGUCGAAGCGAAGGUGAUAAGUCCACUGCCUGGGGAGUACGGUCGCAAGGCUGAAACUUAAAGGAAUUGGCGGGGGAGCACUGCAACCUGAGGAUUGUGCGGUUUAAUUGGACUCAACGCCGGGA
rnacentral:rRNA from 1 species